AGUGAACGCUGGCGGCGUGCUUAACACAUGCAAGUCGAACGAGAACGGAUUAUAGCUUGCUAUAAUUGUCAGCUAAGUGGCGCACGGGUGAGUAAUGUAUAGAUAACCUGCCCUCUAGAAAGGAAUAACAGUUGGAAACGACUGCUAAUGCCCUAUAUGCCUUUAAUACAUAAGUAUGCAAGGGAAACGCUUUAGUGCUUGAGGAUGGGUCUGUAUGGUAUCAGUUAGUUGGUGGGGUAAUGGCCUACCAAGACAAUGACGCCUAACUGGUUUGAGAGGAUGAUCAGUCACACUGGAACUGAGACACGGUCCAGACUCCUACGGGAGGCAGCAGUGGGGAAUCUUAGACAAUGGGGGAAACCCUGAUCUAGCCAUGCCGCGUGAUCGAUGAAGGCCUUAGGGUUGUAAAGAUCUUUCAGAUGGGAAGAUAAUGACGGUACCAUCAGAAGAAGCCCCGGCUAACUCCGU
rnacentral:rRNA from 1 species